CAUAGACCUUCCUCAGAAAGCACUGUUGACUGUCUUCAGUCUGGCAGAGCUUUCUCCACUCUCGCAAACCCUGCCGGCAUUGACUGGAUCACAAUGGAAGCAUUGUAGAGCCAGAAAGUCAAAACCAGCAUAAUGAGGCUCUUCUGGCCCCGCUCCCCCGCUGGUCAGGGGAGGGAGCACACCCUCUGGCCCACACUAAGCCUGCACAAUGACCAGUUCCCACCGCCUGCUGAAUGUGCUGAAAGCAGUCAUUUCUCAGUGGUUGGCUUCUAUCUGGGAGGAGGCCUGCAGGCCUUGGAGAGCUGGGUCUGUGCCCAAGUACAGACAGAAUCUCCCUCCGCUCCCGGGGAUGAACAGUGGAAAAGAGGAAGAAGGUCAAGGGCUGCACUGCUCCGCCUGACCCUACCCAUAUGGACCAUGAUCACUCCUCUCAGUCUUUUCAGUAGCAGCCUACAGACAAGGAAUCUUCUUUGCUCCCUUUCAGCUCAAAUUCAGGGAUCUUAGCAGGUGACAAAGAGGACAACUGGAUUCAAACCCAGAUCUGCAGACUCCAUUGACCGUGUUGCUCUGCCAAGGAAACCCAAGACUUGAUGGGUCCCAAGAGCUUCCAACUGGCGUCUGAGGACCAGAGGAUGGGAUUCCUGCAGCCAGAGACGGCUCCUUUAGACACAGAAGGGCCCUAGCACCAGCUGCAUGUCACGAACAAGAAUGGACAUAUCACAGCAGCCGGCCCGCGGCCGAGUGGUUAAGUUCACACACUCCGCUUCGGUGGCCGGGGUUUUACUGGUUCAGAUCCUGGGCACGGACAUGGCACCACUCGUCAGGCCAUGCUGAGGCAGCGUCCCACAGAACACAACCGGAAGGACCUACAACUAGACUAUACAACUAUGUACUGGGGAGCUUUGGGGAGAAGAAGAAAAAAAAAAGGAAUGGACAUAUCACAGUAGAAAUAAUUACCUAUAAUCCACUAAGAAUAAGGUUUUUACAAAAUGGUUCUUCUGGGACUCCCAUUUAGUCCUAACCCUAGAAUGCUCUGGAGGGGGAGGGGGAGUGGGCCCUGCUACUUAGCCCAGCCCCAGGGGAUUCUUCUCUCUCAACUCCUUAGAGCUUCUCCCAGAUCCUCUUGCCGGAGGGCCCAGUUGUCCAUCUGCCUGAGGCCAAGGACUGCCACUCACUCCUGUUCACAGUCCUUCCUGCAGUGAACAGACAGACAAGACCCAUUUUAGCCUGUGAGGUGCUGAGGGACUCAACAUUCUGCAUUGUGCAUGAAUUGGCGGUGGGGGCAGAUAACGUCAGAAUCUUAGGGUGGGAGACCAUGCAUCAUUUUAAUAAACAUAUUAACAUAGUUACUACAAUACACUUGAAAAAAAGAAAAUAGUACUUAAUUGUUUUCUUAGUUCAGUCUACACAAAGCUUGACAAAAUCAUCUCAGCACAUGGAGGUAUCAGAAAGCAGUCAACCCCCUGCUCAGCCACCGUCAACGUUAAAGGGUAUAGUUGUACAACCUAAGUUUUAUAUAUGUUUACCAAAAAAUACUAUGCAUCUUUUUAAAGAUUAAGCAACCCUGCUCUGAUUCUAUCAGUGAGAGGCGAGGAAGAAGCAGUGAAGGCAGGAAUUCAGUCCUUCCCAGGCUGAUGCAGGGGUCAGCUCAGACACUGCAGGAGAGACUCA
ensembl:lncRNA